rnacentral:rRNA from 1 species
AUUGAACGCUGGCGGCAGGCCUAACACAUGCAAGUCGAACGAGUGGCGGACGGGUGAGUAACACGUGGGAACCUACCCAUCAGAGGGGGAUAACACUUGGAAACAGGUGCUAAUACCGCAUACUGAUGGAUGGACCCGCGGUGCAUUGGCUAGUUGGUGAGGUAACGGCUCACCUAGGCGACGAUCCCUAGCUGGUCUGAGAGGAUGACCAGCCACACGGGAACUGAGACACGGUCCAGACUCCUACGGGAGGCAGCAGUGGGGAAUAUUGCACAAGGGGCGCAAGCCUGAUACAGCCAUGCCGCGUGUAUGAAGAAGGCCUUCGGGUUGUAAAGUACUUUCAGCGGGGAGGCGUUACCCGCAGAAGAAGCACCGGCUAACUCCGUGCCAGCAGCCGCGGUAAUAC